AAAUAGCCCCCUAUGUAUUGGAUCUUUGGCAGUUUUGGCCCCCAAGGCCAAUUUUGACUUGGUCUUCAGUGAUGUGGCAAUUUAAAAUAAAUAAAAAUAUUUUUUUAUUUUACUUUUUUAAAUAAUUAAAAAAAAUUAUUUAAAAAAAAUUAUUUUUUUAAUUUCAAAAAUUAAAAAAAUUAUUUUUUAAAUAAAAAAAGUCCACGUGUGCGUUGACCGAGGUAAAAUUGGCCUUGGGGGCCAAAACUGCCAAAGAUCCAAUACAUAGGGGGCUGUUU
rnacentral:pre_miRNA from 1 species